UGAUUACAAUAGGUAUUUUACAUCAGC
rnacentral:sRNA from 1 species